rnacentral:rRNA from 1 species
UCUACGGGGGGCAGCAGUGGGGGAUAUUGCACAAUGGGGGGAACCCUGAUGCAGCGACGCCGCGUGGGUGAAGGAGCGUUUCGGCGCGUAAAGCCCUAUCGGCAGGGAAGAAGAUGACGGUACCUGACCAAGAAGCCCCGGCUAACUACGUGCCAGCAGCCGCGGUAAUACGUAGGGGGCAAGCGUUAUCCGGAUUUAUUGGGUUUAAAGGGUGCGUAGGCGGUCCGUUAAGUCAGCGGUAAAAUUGCGGGGCUCAACCCCGUCGAGCCGUUGAAACUGGCAGACUUGAGUUGGCGAGAAGUACGCGGAAUGCGCGGUGUAGCGGUGAAAUGCAUAGAUAUCGCGCAGAACUCCGAUUGCGAAGGCAGCGUACCGGCGCCAGACUGACGCUGAGGCACGAAAGCGUGGGGAUCGAACAGGAUUAGAUACCCCAGUAGUC